GCCGGAAUCCAAGGCAACGGUGCCCGUUUAAAGCGUCUGAAGAAUUACUAAGCCUUGUUUAGUUCAUAAAAAACCAAAAAGUUUUUAAGAUUUUCUUUCACAUCGAAUUUUUUGGCAAAUGCAUGAAGCAUUAAAUAUAGACGAAAAUAAAAACUAAUUGCACAAUUUAAUUGUAAAAAUCGUGAGACGAAUCUUUUGAUCGUAGUUAGUUCAUAAUUGGACAAUAUUUGCCAUAAAUAAACGAAAGUACUACAGUAGUGAAAUCUAAAAUCUUUUCGUAUCUAAACAAGGCCUAACCACCAAACUGUGCCACAAUUCCUUUUGCAUUACAAAUACUUUAGGCCUAUAGAUGCACUUAAAAUUCUAAAAGUUUAUAAGAUUCUCUAUUAUAUCAAAUUUUUGGAUGUAUACGUGAAGUAUUAAAAAUAAAUAAAAAAUAACUUACACAGUUUGUCUGUAAUUUAUGAAAUGAAUCUUUUGAGCAUAGUUAGUCUAUGUUUAGACAAUAAUUAUCAAAUACAAACGAAAGGGCUACAAUAUCAAACUUCAAAAACUUUUGACAUCUAAACAAGGUCUUAGAAGAUUUUAUCAAAAUUUUCCGCAAUUAAUUAAUUGCAUAAGCGACCAACCUCACAUAAAGGUAGCACAAGCAUUGCAAAUGGACAAUGGGAUAUUCAAUUUAGGAGACAACUCAAUAAGACUCGCCCUCAGUGAAUAAUAGGAUCAACUCACAUUUUCAACCAAACGGUGGUUGCCACGUCACAUGAUACAAACAAAAAAAAAGCAACGGAUGUACGUCACAUGAAAAACUUUGAGGAACUAAAGCCUUGUUUAGUUCACUCAAGAAUAAAAAACUUUUCACAAUUUUCCAUACAUCGAAUCUUACUGCACAUAUACGGAAUAUUAAAUAUAGACGAAAACAAAAACUAAUUGUACAAUUUACUUAUAAUAAAUUGCGAGAUAAAUCUUUUGAGCCUAGUUAGUUCAUGAUUGAACAACAAUAGGUCAAAUAAAAACAAAAAUGUUACAAUAUCUAAAACCAAAAAACUUUCGAAACUAAGGCCUUGUUUACUUCCGAUAAAUUUUCAAGAUUUCCCGUCACAUUAAAUCUUGCGGC
rnacentral:lncRNA from 1 species